UCCGUUAUGGUGUAGUGGUUAACAUUAUCGCCUCUCAUUACAGGGACAGGUAAUGUUGACGCGAUAGCCCAGGGUUCGAUUCCCUGUAACGGAA